rnacentral:rRNA from 1 species
UACGUAGGCAGCGAGCGUUGUUCGGAGUUACUGGGCGUAAAGGGUGCGUAGGCGGUUGUUUAAGUUUGGUGUGAAAUCUCCCGGCUCAACUGGGAGGGUGCGCCGAAUACUGAAUGACUAGAGUGCGGGAGAGGAGAGUGGAAUUCCUGGUGUAGCGGUGAAAUGCGUAGAUAUCGGAAGGAACACCAGUGGCGAAAGCGGCUUCCUGGUCCAGCACCGACGUUCAGGCACGAAAGCGUGGGGAGCAAACAGG